rnacentral:misc_RNA from 1 species
AAGUGGAGGAGGCUCUAGUUGAGGCCAAUGCAUACUGCCAACCUUAUUGAAAGACUUUACAGAUCGUUUAUCAAGAGGAAGAAUUGAUAAAACUCAAACUCUUGAUCUAAUGAGAGUGUUGAUUGAGUCUCAUAAACUAAACCAAACCAAACCUUAUUCUCAAAGGCUAGUGGUAACUUAAUAUACUCUAAAUUAUAAUUAGUCUUCUUUCUAAUUAGUUGAAGACAGUAUGAAGUGUGUUUUUCUUCCAAUUAUUUAUCAUGGCUAAGGAUACAACAUCUGAUUUUAUUCCUUUUAUGAGUACAUCUCAAGUUAUUCAUAUACAUAACCCAGCCAUUUAAGCCCUAAAUGAUAAACCCACCUAGCUAGUUCUUCCCAUAACGAGCCUUGUAUUCAUUCCACAACUGAUCAACAGGCUUUCCCAGCAACUCAACAAAGAAUUCAUCACUAUAAGUAUCUCUCAUCUUCUUGUUCAGUUCUGCAACAAACCCAUUUCUAAGAUC